rfam:Komagataeibacter xylinus E25 chromosome, complete genome.
CCCCUUGCCAGAUGCAUGGCCAGACCCUAUAUCCCGAAAUGCCGGAGGGGCUUGCCCCUUGGCUAUGGCGAUAAACGGCGCGUGGAAUAAGUGUUGUGGACCCGGGGGCGGUACCCGGCGUCUCCACCAAUUUUCCCUGAUGGGGAACAUGGGGACGAAACAGGCUCGACACGCAUGGUAAAGACCCGCCUUUUGCCCGGCAUUGUACCACCGUUAUCGGGCUAAAUCACAAGUGCCAAUGAUAACUCUGAGGUGCUCGCUGUCGCUGCAUAAGCGAUAAGCGCGGUUCGGGAGGGCACCGGGCAACAGAAGCCCUCCCACC